CACUGGCCCCGUCACCUUGAGGGCGCCCGUGCCGCUUGUCGGCGCAUGCUGGGCGUACGGCCUCGAGUCGCUGCGGCGCUGGCGCACAUGCGCGCGUGCGCGUGUGUUGUCUGCGCUGCGAUUCGGGGGGCCACAGAGCAAGGGGUGCGAGCACGUGGCGUGAUGCUCGGCGUGCCUCGCGCGCGCCUGACGCACCGCCACGCGCCGCGGUUCCCGUUACGCAUAUCCUGUGUGCGCUCCAGCCCCGUCGGGGCCAUGACGA